rnacentral:rRNA from 1 species
UUGAUAGGGACAGUUGAGGGCAUCAGUAUUCUGAAGCGAGAGGUGAAAUUCUUGGACCUUCGGAAGACUAACAACUGCGAAAGCAUUUGCCUAGGAUGUUCUCUUUAAUCAAGAACGAAGGUUGGGGGAUCGAAGACGAUCAGAUACCGUCGUAGUCUCAACUAUAAACUAUGCCAACUAGGGAUGAGUGGAUGUUUAUAUUAUUUAUUUUUUUUUGCUUCCUUAUGAGAAAAUCAAAGUAUUUGGGGUUCCGGGGGGAGUAUGGUCGCAAGGCUGAAACUUAAAGGAAUUGACGGGAGGGCACCACCAGGAGUGGAGCCUGUGGCUUAAUUUGACUCAACACGGGAAAACUUACCAGGUCCGGACAUAGCUAGGAUUGACAGAUUGAUAGCUCU